CGCAACUCGAGCCUUGUGGAAAAAAUACCUAGAAAAAUUAGAAAGAUGGCUGAAGAUAAGAGAAAUGAGAUUCAAGAUCUGUCUAAAUCCAUCACUCCAAGUGAAGAACCUGCUAAAGGAUUAGAAAAUGCUAAAGAUCAAGGGCUAGUGGAGAAAGAUGAAGCAGCUAAUGCUCAAGACGAGGGAUUGGCGCACGUAGUUGUAAGAGCAAAAAUGCCAGAACCUCCACGCAAACGACCUCCUCCAACGACUGGUUGAACUGAAAUAAUAUAAGCCUAAUUGGGAAUUUCAAAGUUUAAGUGUUGUACAUUUAAAGUACCAGAUGUAAUUGGUUAAUUGCUUUUUUAA